AGAGAGAGAGAGAGAGAGAGAGGAGAUCGUCGGUCGGGGUCGGUGAGAGAGACAGAGAAGGAAGGAAAGAGAACCGAGAAACAGAUCAAUUCAGCCCACCCAAAAAUCUUCCCUUUUCUCCCUCUAUAUAACACCCGAUGAAGAAGCUGCGAGAUUUGCAGAGCCAGAACAGAAAGAAGAAGAGAUCAUAGUGUGAAGGAAGGAAUUGUUUAUUUGGACGCAGAACAGGGAAGAAGAUUUUGAAGGAGCGAGCGACGGUUUCGUUGUUUUACUCUGCCAUCGGCGUGCGACCUUCACAUCUCUCUCUCUCUCUCUCUCUCUCUCUCUCUCUCAUCGUCAUCAUCUUCUCUCUGGGUCGGGGGUGUUUCUCUCCUUUUUCGCUUCCUCCUCUCUCUCUCUUCCUUGCCCCUGCUCGUGUUUCUUUUGGUUUCUUCUGCAAGGAAUCCCGCAAUUCCUCUCCCUUUCCCGGGACCGCCCCACCUCCAUUGACGGUGCUGCUCGCGGAUAAAUAUACCCCAAUCGAGGCCCGGCUUUUUGUUAUCUCUGAGGAGGGUCGAAAGGGGGUGGGUGGCUUUACAUAGAGAGAGAGUAUUGAGUUCCAUUUGAGAAACAGAGAGGAGGUAAUGGAGGGAAGGAAGCAGGUGGGGUGUCCGUCGUCGUCUUCAUCUUCCUCUUCGUCGUUGGCUUCGGAGCUGUUCGGCUCCAGGGAGACGUACCCGGCUGCCUCCUCUUCGACGGGUAUUUUCGGGUCAAUCUUCGGGCCCCCGUCUAACUCUAAGAUUGUAGGAAAAGAGUUUCUGCACUCGGAGAGCGAAAAGAAACGGGAAUUCUCGAACGAGCCGUGGAGCAACAGAUCUGAGACUCCAGCGGAUGACACAACAAAGAGUGGAGAUGGGGGAAUUCAGAGCGCACCGAACUGGGAGAUGAGUUCCAUUUAUCAAGAACAAAGAUUACACCCAUGCCAUCUGAGUUCUUCGAUUUAUUAUGGAGGUCAAGAGAACUACUCUCAUCCCCAGAACACCCAAGGCUCGAGCAUGAACUCGUUUAAGAAAGAUCCGGGCGAAGAUGAUCCGGGAACUGCUUCGAGAGGAAAUUGGUGGCAAGGUAGAACUUAUAGCUGUUCUUUAGUCUAAAAAUUUGGUCUAUGAUGAGGCCAUCGACUUAGUUCUCCUCUCUACGUGCUUUUUUACUUUAUGCAGGGUCUCUAUAUUACUGAAGGCUUGCUCAUCAAGGCUCAGUAGUUUACGAGGAUAGCGGGUUUUGGCUUCUUACUCCUUGUAAGUGAAGAUAGAGAUAGUCGUCGGGUCAGAAUCUGUUGUUCGGUUCCUCAGAGACUAGGAGCAAAGUCGCACGAAACUUCGGAGUUUCGUCCACCCUCAUAUGUUCGUAUUUAGUAUCUGUCAAGCAGUCUGUUUUUAUUUUCCUUUCAGAUGCUGUAAAGUGUGUGCUUUUUUUAAGGUAUAAAGGGAAGACUCCAACUUCCACCACAAUCUUGACAAUGUGGUCGAGAAGUACUCACCUUUAUACGUUAUGAACUCAUCGAAUCUUUGAAUAAUUUUAGCUUUUUGCAUUCUGUAUGGCGAACUCCUGUAAACCGGUAACUCUUUAAUAAAGUUGCAAUAUUGGCGAACGUCAUUUUGUUUUUUA